rnacentral:misc_RNA from 1 species
CUCCCCAGGGCUGACAGCCACUUUCAGCGGUGGGCUCCCGGUUCUAGUACUAGAAAAAGAACCUACUGUUCAUCAAUCAUCAUAGAUAUGGGAUUUUUAUCUUCAUCUGCUAGCUACUCCCAAAUGCUGCCAUAGCCUCCUGUUUCUUACUGUGCAGAUGUGUACAUUUUUCCCCUUCUUGGGUUGCUACUUUUUCUCAUCUGUUUUUAGGGCAUAUGACCAAUUGGUUCUACUGUGUACUCUUCUAAAGUUCAAACACGGAACAUGCUUCAAUUAAUCUCUUCAUGUAUAUGUACUCCUUAAUGGAAGUUUGUGCAAUUUCUUUUGGAUUAUUGUUCUUGUUAUUGAAUUUUUGAAUGGAUUCAUG